UCAGGGGAGUGAGGUUUCAUGACAAUUACCUACAUAAAUAAAUAUACCGGAGUUGAAUUACACUACCCGCCCUCUUUGGUCGCAGCACUUUCUACCCCGUGUGUCACUCAUCUGAGUUUUAUUUAAAUUGAUUUUGUCGUAGAAAUAAGAGACUAAUGUGGCGUCAGUCAAAAUGAGAAAAACAGAGACAAAUACAUACCCAGAUCUUAAAAAAUAAGAUGACAAAUAGGACGAAAUAUGUGCUCAGAAAAGAUGAGCAAUUCCAAUAAUGAAU
rnacentral:lncRNA from 1 species